AGCGUGGUGAACGCUGCGCAAUGUGUUGAGCGGUUAAAUAAGAAAAGUGACACCUACAACAAGUAGGAAAAAUCCCAGCUAGUGUUCUGCGCCAGCCGUUCGAGUGUUGCCAAGCGCCAGUGUGGCCAGCUCUGUUCCUGCUGCUGCUGCUGCUGCUGCCGCUGCCGCGUGGCAUUUUGAGUACAACAUAUGGCAGAACAGCAUCGAUGCCAAAAUGCAGCGCGCUUAUCAUGAGACCAUUGCGCACCAGCAACUGUGGUGGGCCGAUUAUCAUGGCAAGCAAUGUACAACAACAGCAACAACAGCGGCAG
rnacentral:sRNA from 1 species